AUGAAAAAUCUAUUUUAGAUUGAUGAAGAUUUAUCGCAUUUUUAAUAAUUAUUAAAUAUUUUGAAAUGUUUUAGGACGUCUAUCUAUUUUUAAUUUAAAAAAAAAUAAUUGUUACAUUAACUAGAACAAUGGUCAAUCACAGUCAUAACUACUAGAGUUGAUAGACCAGGGAUAUAUAAAAGCAAGACAUUAUAAAUAUUAGGUAAGAAGUUAUCGGUAAAAUGGAAAAACUUCAUUUUCUCACUUUUUGUGUUCUCCUUGCUUCCUUAGUUAUCUCAGCUUAUGGAGGACCAUUAAUACCGGAAGACGAUGAUCAGUAUCCGGAACAUGGAAGACGAGUUAAGCGUUUCACUUGCGAUGCUCUGAGUCUCGAUGUUAACAUUCUUGGUACAGGUUUCAAGGCGAAUAAUUCGAUAUGUGCAACUAAAUGUAUAAUUCUCCUUUACACUGGUGGAUACUGCGAUAAUCAAGGAGAAUGUAUUUGCAGACAAAAAAUUAAAGAUUAUUUGAAAAACAAGCUCUCAUUUUUGGGAUAACAUGUUUGGAAAACAAAUAUACUUUUAACAUAGUUAUAAUAA